rnacentral:misc_RNA from 1 species
GCACGAGUCAAGCAAAAUUUGGUGUUAGCAAUAGCAGCAGAAAUAUAGGAAGCAGUGGCAGUAACAAUUCUAAAUCCUAACGACAGAGAAUUACAAAUUAAUCAAAAUGCUAUGCAAAUGUCUCCUUGAAGUAGUGCAAACGUAAUCAACAAAUUAGCAGAUAAGUAGUAAAUAAACAAUGAAGCAGGUUUAAUUUAAUAGCCUCUGAUUGUCCAAGGUCGACGUUGCUAAAUUUUUAGUUUAGGCAGAAGACAUUAUCAACCGCCAUAGCGUGCUUUACUAGCUCAGCAUUUUACUCAAGUCUGAUAAUUUAACCAGCAGCAGCAAGUGCAAAAA